rnacentral:ncRNA from 1 species
GGUCUGGUCCCAGCCUUAAAAUCAAUUCUUAUUUAGUAUACACAUGCAAGUUUCCGCGCCCCAGUGAGAACGCCCCUAACUUCAAUCCUAGAAAACAGGAGCCGGUAUCAGGCUCAAAUCUGCCCAUUACACCUAGUUUCGCCACACCCCCACGGGUAUUCAGCAGUGAUAAAUAUUAAGUAUAAGUGCAAACUUGACUCAGCUAAAAUAAAUAGAGCUGGCUAAUCUGGUGCCAGCCGCCGCGGUUAGACCACGAAGCCCAAAUUGAUUUUUUUCGGCGUAAAGCGUGAUUAAAGGGCCCCCCCAUUUUUACCUGGAAUCAAAUUUAAAUUAAGCUGUAAUACGCUUAUUGUUUAGGAAGCUCAUAAGCGAAAGUUAUUCCAAUUAAACCAACUUGAACUCACGUCAACUGAGACACAAACUGGGAUUAGAUACCCCACUAUGCUCAGUCGUAAACUUUAAACUACCCCCUUCUCCGCCUGGGAACUACGAGCUAAGCUUAAAACCUAAAGGACUUGACGGUACCCCAUAUCCCCCUAGAGGAGCCUGUCCUUUAAUCGACAAUCCCCGUUUUACCUCACCAUUUUUUGCUAAAUCAGCCUGUAUACUUCCGUCGUCAGCUUACCACGUGAGCGUCAGUGAGCCCAAUGUUUUUUCAACUACACGUCAGGUCAAGGUGCAGCACAUGAAAUGGAAAGAGAUGGGCUACACUCUCUAAUAUAGAGAAUACGAAAAACUUUAUGAAAUCUAGUCAAAAGGUGGAUUUAGAAGUAAAAAGGAAUCAGAGAGUUCUUUUUAACCCGGCACUGGGGUGUGUACACACCGCCCGUCAUCCUCCUCGAUGCUACAUGAAAGUUUUUAACAAAUACUAGCUUAUAAGAAGAGGCAAGUCGUAACAUGGUAAGUAUACUGGAAAGUGUGCUUGGAAA